AUUGAACGCUGGCGGCAGGCCUAACACAUGCAAGUCGAACGGUAGCACAGAGGAGCUUGCUCCUUGGGUGACGAGUGGCGGACGGGUGAGUAAUGUCUGGGAAACUGCCCGAUGGAGGGGGAUAACUACUGGAAACGGUAGCUAAUACCGCAUAACGUCGCAAGACCAAAGAGGGGGACCCUCGGGCCUCUUGCCAUCGGAUGUGCCCAGAUGGGAUUAGCUAGUAGGUGGGGUAACGGCUCACCUAGGCGACGAUCCCUAGCUGGUCUGAGAGGAUGACCAGCCACACUGGAACUGAGACACGGUCCAGACUCCUACGGGAGGCAGCAGUGGGGAAUAUUGCACAAUGGGCGCAAGCCUGAUGCAGCCAUGCCGCGUGUAUGAAGAAGGCCUUCGGGUUGUAAAGUACUUUCAGCGAGGAGGAAGGCGUUGUGGUUAAUAACCGCAACGAUUGACGUUACUCGCAGAAGAAGCACCGGCUAACUCCGUGCCAGCCGCCGCGGUAAAAGGG
rnacentral:rRNA from 1 species